rnacentral:rRNA from 1 species
AGAGCGAACGCUGGCGGCAGGCCUAACACAUGCAAGUCGAGCGCGUGUAGCAAUACACGAGCGGCAGACGGGAGAGUAACACGUGGGAACGCGCCCUUUGGUUCGGAAUAACUCAGGGAAACUUGAGCUAAUACCGGAUAAGCCCUUACGGGGAAAGAUUUAUCGCCAAAGGAACGGCCCGCGUCCGAUUAGCUAGUUGGUGAGGUAACGGCUCACCAAGGCGACGAUCGGUAGCUGGUCUAAGAGGAUGAUCAGCCUCACUGGGACUGAGACACGGCCCAGACUCCUACGGGAGGCAGCAGUGGGGAAUAUUGGACAAUGGGCGCAAGCCUGAUCCAGCCAUGCCGCGUGGAUGAUGAAGGCCUUAGGGUUGUAAAGUCCUUUUAACGGGGAAGAUAAUGACGGUACCCGUAGAAUAAGCCCGGCUAACUUCGUGCCAGCAGCCGC